AUCCGGGUUCUUCAGCCUCGUUCCCGGGUAGUAUAAAGUUUGCUGUCUCCUUUGUUCGCCCUCGUUGCGCAGUAGUCCUAGCGGCUUCUCUGUUCCGUUCCUGGGUCCAGCAGCUGUCACUCGUGUUGAGCUGCUUGAAAGGCCCACUCGGCGAGCUCGUAGGAGCUUGAGACCGUCGCCACCCCUCCGGUACGUGUCUCCUUUCCUUGGUUCGUUGUUUCGUACGUUCUUGCCUUGUUAGAACUUGGGAUUAUCUCCCUGGAGAUGAGGGUGGCGGGCGCCAUUUUAAGACACCCAAAGGUGCCGACCUAUUUAAAUAAAGCGGGGUGGGGGGUCGGUCAAAGGAAAACACAUUAGGGGGUUCGUUUCCUUGUAUGUCUCUCUUGAAAGUUUGGCCGUUGCCUGCUGGGGCGGGGGCGGGGGCGGAGGCGGAGGUCGGCGUUUUGUAGCUUGAGCGGGACGCGGAGCCACCGCGCCACCGCGGUACCUGCAUUGGGAUGGCGCUGACGCUAACGAUGGCAUGUGGACUUCCAUGCGGCCUCCUUGUUAAUUGGCAGCCCUGGAGAGGAAGCCCUUGGAAUUUUCCCAGCCAGUAUUGAUGGUAAAAGUUAGUUUCCUGACCAGUGUCAGUUGCUCUGGGCUGAAUCCAAGUGUCGCCAUUUUGUCGUUUCCACGCGGUUUUUAAUGACUAGUCUUAAUUGGGUUCCGUCGCAAUUGUAGCGUGUUGAGUGUUACAGUGUGCGCUUCUGUGUGCUGUUAUUUAAUAUGAAAUGAUGUUGACACUUUGCCUUUUUUUUCCCCCCUUAGGCAGUAACCUUUUUGGCGGGUGGGGGCUGGUGGAGAUGAGGCGGAACUUGGCGCAAACUUAAAAGAUACCUGCUUAGAUUUAGUAACAUACUAAUGAGAGAACGGGUAGCCCUUGAAUGAGGGUUUGGUGUUGAAGUCUUGCCGUCUGGUUAGUGACCUUGAACUAGCCAUUAGUCUUAAAAUCCAUCACUGGGAGAGGGGUGUGAUUGAAUCUGUAAAAGGCAUCAGACCUAGGAUUAAAACUAAAAUUGGCUUUUUCAAAUGUUAAGUACCUGUUAACUCGUUAAAAACAGCCAAGGGGGGGCUGGGAUGUGGCUCAAGCGGUAGCGCGCUCGCCUGGCAUGCGUGCGGCCCGGGUUCGAUCCUCAGCACCACAUACAAACAAAGAUGUUGUGUCCGCCAAAUACUAAAAAAUAAAUAUUAAAAAAUUCUCUCUCUCUCUAAAAAAAAAAAACAGCCAAGGAAGAUUAGGGUGAAAGUGAACUUUGUGUCGGCCCUUUCAACUACUUUAAUGUAGAAUUGCACUAUUACCACUUAGUUUAAAUUGGCUUCCUACUGUGUUGGAAGCUUAUCGUUGUCUUUAGUUAUUAAAGAAUAAAGGUUUUAGUAAAACAAUCCAAACCACAUUUAAAGGUGUCCCAUAAACUUGGGGAACUUCUUCUGGGAGGUAAUACUAUUCUUUUUCAGCAGACUCACCAGGGGGGAAAAAUGGUUGAAGCAGAUCGUCCAGGAAAGCUCUUCAUUGGUGGGCUUAAUACGGAAACAAAUGAGAAAGCCCUUGAAGCAGUAUUUGGCAAAUAUGGACGAAUAGUGGAAGGUGAGUUA
rnacentral:lncRNA from 1 species